CCUACGGGCGGCUGCAGUGAGGAAUAUUGGUCAAUGGGCGCGAGCCUGAACCAGCCACGUAGCGUGAAGGAUGACUGCCCUACGGGUUGUAAACUUCUUUUAUAAAGGAAUAAAGUGAGGCACGUGUGCCUUUUUGUCUGUACUUUAUGAAUAAGGAUCGGCUAACUCCGUGCCAGCAGCCGCGGUAAUACGGAGGAUCCGAGCGCUAUCCGGAUUGAUUGGGUUUAAAGGGAGCGUAGAUGGGUUGUUAAGUCAGUUGUGAAAGUUUGCGGCUCAACCGUAAAAUUGCAAUUGAUACUGGCAGUCUUGAGUACAGUUGAGGUAGGUGGAAGUCGUGGUGUAGCGGUGAAAUGCUUAGAUAUCACGAAGAACUCCGAUUGCGAAGGCAGCUUACUAAACUGCCACUGACAUUGAUGCUCGAAAGUGUGGGUAUCAAACAGGAUUAGAUACCCGGGUAGUC
rnacentral:rRNA from 1 species